rnacentral:rRNA from 1 species
UUGGUGAGGAAUAACACGAGGAAACUUGUGCUAAUACCUCAUAAGUCUUUACGGAGAAAGCUUUAUGCGCCGAUGGAUGAGCCCGCACUUGAUUAGUUUGUUGGUGGGGUAAUAGCCUACCAAGACUAUGAUCAAUAGCUGAUUUGAGAGGAUGAUCAGCCACAUUGGGACUGAGACACGGCCCAAACUCCUACGGGAGGCAGCAGUAGGGAAUCUUGCACAAUGGAGGAAACUCUGAUGCAGCGAUGCCGCGUGAGUGAGGAAGGCCCUUGGGUUGUAAAGCUCUUUCGUCGGGGAAGAAAAUGACUGUACCCGAAUAAGAAGGUCCGGCUAACUUCGUGCCAGCAGCCGCGGUAAUACGAAGGGACCUAGCGUAGUUCGGAAUUACUGGGCUUAAAGAGCUCGUAGGUGGUUAGAAAAGUUGGUGGUGAAAUCCCAAGGCUUAACCUUGGAACUGCCACCAAAACUUUUUAACUAGAGUGUGAUAGAGGAAAGUGGAAUUUCUAGUGUAGAGGUGAAAUUCGUAGAUAUUAGAAAGAACACCAAUUGCGAAGGCAACUUUCUGGAUCACUACUGACACUGA